GCCUCAACAUGCAAGUCUAGCGGGCAUAGCAAUAUGUCAGCGGCGGACGGGUGCGUAACACGUGGGAAUGUACCUGGUGGUUCGGAACAACGCAGGGAAACUUGCGCUAAUACUGGAUAAGCCCGAAAGGGGAAAGAUUUAUCGCCACCAGAUCAGCCCGCGUCCGAUUAGCUAGUUGGUAGGGUAAUGGCCUACCAAGGCGACGAUCGGUAGCUGUUCUGAGAGGAAGAUCAGCCACACUGGGACUGAGACACGGCCCAGACUCCUACGGGAGGCAGCAGUUGGGAAUCUUGGACAAUGGGGGAAACCCUGAUCCAGCCAUGCCGCGUGAGUGAUGAAGGCCUUAGGGUUGUAAAGCUCUUUUACCCGGGAAGAUAAUGACUGUACCGGGAGAAUAAGCUCCGGCUAACUUCGUGCCAGUAGCCGCGGUAAUACGAAGGGGGCUAGCGUUGUUCGGAAUUACUGGGCGUAAAGCGUGCGCAGGCGGUCUCUCAAGUCAGGGGUGAAAGCCCAGAGCUCAACUCUGGAAUUGCCCUUGAAACUGUGAGGCUCGAGUGCGGGAGAGGUGAGUGGAAUUCCCAGUGUAGAGGUGAAAUUCGUAGAUAUUGGGAAGAACACCGGUGGCGAAGGCGGCUCACUGGCCCGUUUCUGACGCUCAUGCACGACAGCGUGGGGAUCAAACAGGAUUAGAUACCCUGGUAGUCCACGCCGUAAACUAUGGACGCUAGCCGUUGGGCAGCUUGCUGUUCAGUGGCGCAGCUAACGCAUUAAGCGUCCCGCCUGGGGAGUACGGCCGCAAGGUUGAAACUCA
rnacentral:rRNA from 1 species